AGAGUUUGAUCCUGGCUCAGGACGAACGCUGGCGGCGUGCUUAACACAUGCAAGUCGAACGAAAAGAGGGAAAGAGCUUGCUCUUUCCGGAAUUGAGUGGCAAACGGGUGAGUAACACGUAAACAACCUGCCUUCAGGAUGGGGACAACAGACGGAAACGACUGCUAAUACCGAAUAAGUUCCAAGAGCCGCAUGGCCCAUGGAAGAAAAGGUGGCCUCUACCUGUAAGCUAUCGCCUGAAGAGGGGUUUGCGUCUGAUUAGCUGGUUGGAGGGGUAACGGCCCACCAAGGCGACGAUCAGUAGCCGGUCUGAGAGGAUGAACGGCCACACUGGAACUGAGACACGGUCCAGACUCCUACGGGAGGCAGCAGUGGGGAAUCUUCCGCAAUGGGCGAAAGCCUGACGGAGCAACGCCGCGUGAGUGAUGACGGCCUUCGGGUUGUAAAACUCUGUGAUCCGGGACGAAAAGGCAGAGUGCGAAGAACAAACUGCAUUGACGGUACCGGAAAAGCAAGCCACGGCUAACUACGUGCCAGCAGCCGCGGUAAUACGUAGGUGGCAAGCGUUGUCCGGAAUUAUUGGGCGUAAAGCGCGCGCAGGCGGCUUCCCAAGUCCCUCUUAAAAGUGCGGGGCUUAACCCCGUGAUGGGAAGGAAACUGGGAAGCUGGAGUAUCGGAGAGGAAAGUGGAAUUCCUAGUGUAGCGGUGAAAUGCGUAGAGAUUAGGAAGAACACCGGUGGCGAAGGCGACUUUCUGGACGAAAACUGACGCUGAGGCGCGAAAGCGUGGGGAGCAAACAGGAUUAGAUACCCUGGUAGUCCACGCCGUAAACG
rnacentral:rRNA from 1 species